rnacentral:rRNA from 1 species
AAGUUAAGUUCAGCCCUUAGACAAAACUGCGUACAGCUGCUUAAUACGCUCAGAACCUAGUUGGUAAAACUCGAUAGAGUCAACAGGGAUAGCCGCAGCAAUUCUGGGGCUAAUACCAACUCGAAAGAGGGAACCACUAUAAAGGAAAGAAAAGUGGGUAGAAGACCGGGAUGGCGAGCCAUCAGGUUGAGCGCGCUAUCAGCUAGUCGGUAGGUUCUUUGCCUACGGAGGCGAUAACGGCUAACGGGGAAUGAUCGUUCUAAUUCCGCAGAAGUGGCCUGAGAGACAGCCACUAUUCCCAUGGGAAGCAGCAGGCGUGAAACUUCCCCACUCGACUUCUGUCGGAGGGGGUUACGGACAGUUCCAAUGUCUCGCAAGAGCGUGGGAAAGGGCCACAUCAAGCCAGUGUGGCGAACGCAAGGAGAGGACUAGCUCUGGUGCCAGCACCCGCGGUAAUACCAGCUCUCCUAGUUUGCAUCCAAUGCUACUUUUAAAACGCCCGUAGUCUGAGUAAGUGGCACGCAAGUGCGCUCACGGUGAAUAAAUCAGGACGCGUAGAGUAGUUCAUAACUGAAUGACUGAGCACCGCCUGAGGUCUUUACCUGUCAGGGUAAGAUCAAAGAGAGCUACCGGGGUCAGGGCUAUUCGAGGUCGAGCGGCGGAAUGUGUUGACACCUCGGAGAGGAACAGAGGCGAAAGCGUCUGGCAUGGGAGUUUCUGUCGAUCAAGGGCGAGAGUCGCAGGAUCCAACCGGAUUAGGCACCCGGGUAGUUGCGACCUUAAACGAUGCCGACAGCGCCGAAUCUGCAAGGGUUUGGCGACAGCAGAAAUGUAUAGUCAUAGGGCUAAGGGGGAAAUACGGCCGCAAGACUGAAACUUGAAGGAAUUGACGGAGGUCUACACAAGGCGUGGAGCCUGUGGCUCAAUCUGACUCAACACGGGGAAGCUUACCAUUCUUGGACAAUUGAAUGACUGACCAGCUAAAGACUGUUCAGGAUCCUUUGAUGAUUGGUGCAUGGCCAUAGCUGGUGCGUUGUGUGGACAGUCUAUAGUCGAUUCGGGUAACGAGCGAGACGACCAUCACUUAAAGCAAACUAGAGUUGAAAAACCCUAGGGAGCACUAAGUGAGACUCCCUGCAUAGAAGCAGGCGGAAGAGGGUCGCAAUUAUAGGUCCGUGAUGCCAUUAGUUAAAAUGGGCUGCACGCGUGCUACAAUGUAGGUGAGAAAGUGUCGCGAAGCCGAGAGGCUGAGCAACGCACGGAAUCGCCUGCGUGGUUGGGAUUGACGUUUGUCAUCAGCGUCAUGAACUAGGAAUGCCUUGUAAGCGUGUGUCAACAUCGCACGUUGAAUAAGUCACUUGACUUUGUACACACCGCCCGUCGCUCCUACCGAUUGGGUGAGCCGGUGAAUUUGCUGGAGGCGCAAGCUGAAGGCAUGUGAACCUGCUGAUUUA